rnacentral:rRNA from 1 species
ACGGAGGGGGCGAGCGUUGUUCGGAAUUACUGGGCGUAAAGGGCGCGUAGGCGGCCAUGUCAGUUGGGAGUGAAAGCCCCGGGCUCAACCUGGGAACUGCUCUCAAUACUGCGUGGCUUGAGAACGGGAGAGGGUAGUGGAAUUCCCAGUGUAGAGGUGAAAUUCGUAGAUAUUGGGAAGAACACCAGUGGCGAAGGCGGCUACCUGGCCCGUUUCUGACGCUGAGGCGCGAAAGCGUGGGGAGCAAACAGG